rnacentral:rRNA from 1 species
ACCAGACUCCUACGGGAGGCAGCAGUGGGGGAUAUUGCACAAUGGGGGGAACCCUGAUGCAGCGACGCCGCGUGGGUGAAGAAGCGCCUCGGCGCGUAAAGCCCUGUCAGCAGGGAAGAAAAUGACGGUACCUGAAGAAGAAGCCCCGGCUAACUACGUGCCAGCAGCCGCGGUAAUACGUAGGGGGCAAGCGUUAUCCGGAUUUACUGGGUGUAAAGGGAGCGCAGACGGCGAUGCAAGCCAGGAGUGAAAGCCCGGGGCCCAACCCCGGGACUGCUCUUGGAACUGCGUGGCUGGAGUGCAGGAGGGGCAGGCGGAAUUCCUGGUGUAGCGGUGAAAUGCGUAGAUAUCAGGAGGAACACCGGUGGCGAAGGCGGCCUGCUGGACUGCAACUGACGUUGAGGCCCGAAAGCGUGGGGAGCAAACAGGAUUAGAUACCCGUGUA